rnacentral:lncRNA from 1 species
AGACGGACAGACGGACAGACAGAGCCCUGCCUUGCGCCGUGACUCCUGCACAGCCCAGAGCAGAGCAGAGGUAAUGGGAGGGGACAGCUGAGAUGGCAAUAAAGGCAGAGGUGAUGAUAUGACAGCCACCACCUUGACACCGGGCAAAAUGCCCAAGAACAACCGCGUGACUGUAGCAGGAGGAAUCUCCUCACAGGGAGGUUGUGGAGUGACACCGCUGGACACGGUGACAGGAUCCAGAUGGGAAAGACAUAGCCUGCCUUUUCCUGACUGGGAUCACUCCCACAGAAAAUCUGACGGCGAAAAUGACUUAGAGGACCAAGCAGAAACACCACCCGAAUCAAUGUGAAGAUUUGUUCAACUCCAAGUUAUGUCAGCCACUAAAUUAUUAAAUAAUAGCCAAAUGAAUCACUUGGGAACGAACAUAGCGUUCCUCUUGCAUGUCUAUUUUAUAUUUGUCUGGAUCCCGUGUUUAUUUUAGUCCCCAGCCAUGUUUGUUUGAAAGGCAAUAACAGAGGAACUCAUGACCAUGCCCCAGUGAAACUGCAGAAACAAAAGAGCAACCCCAGUGAUGGUGUUUCAAGGCAGCCAGGACACCUCUCAUGUGAGAGCCUGGGAUAAGGUUUUUGCUUCUGCAAAGCAUGGCCACUCAAACAUUGGCUUUAUUCUGCCUUUUUCUGGCAGGUUGAGGUGUGAAGCUGGAGGCAGCUGCAUUCCAGCAGCAGGGCAGUGGGGACCCGCCUCUUUACAGUCCUGGCACUGUGCCAUCACCCCAUGCCAGAGCUAAGGUCGAACCGGAGCAACUGGAAUUGCACUCCUGCCCUUCAGCCUUUUGUUUGCAAAAGGGGUUGAUGCUCCAGGUUUUUCUCUUUUUUUUUUUGCUUUUUUGUUUGUUUGUUUUUUGUUUUUGUUUUGUUUUGGGGUUUUUUGUUUGGUGUUUUUUUGUUUUCCAACCAAGAGACUGCACUACAACAGCACCAGAGCAGGUUGAUCUGUGGUGGGGACUGCAGCUCAGGUUUUGGGACAUUAUUUCUGGGGCAGGAUUUAAACAUGGGUACAGGAACAGGGAUUAAAUCCAGCAGAAAUAAGUAUGUCCAACUUGCAGCCACUUUGAGGGUCUGUAUGAGGAGGUGACACUGAGGCAGCUCAUGGUGAUGAGAUCAUGACAAAUUAAAGUAAAACUGUAAACUGAAAAAAGAUGAUAACAGCAGCAAAAAGCUGCAGAAGUACUUGGGCACUUCUGGGGGAAUGACUGGACUCAAUGUUAGAGGGCUUUUCCAACCUUAGUGAUUCCACAAUUCUACUAAUAAACACAAAACCCUGGAAACA